rnacentral:rRNA from 1 species
UACGUAGGGGGCGAGCGUUGUCCGGAUUCAUUGGGCGUAAAGAGCUCGUAGGUGGCCUGUCGCGUCGGCUGUGAAAACUCGGGGCUCAACUCCGAGCUUGCAGUCGAUACGGGCAGGCUAGAGUUCGGCAGGGGAGACUGGAAUUCCUGGUGUAGCGGUGAAAUGCGCAGAUAUCAGGAGGAACACCGGUGGCGAAGGCGGGUCUCUGGGCCGAUACUGACACUGAGGAGCGAAAGCGUGGGGAGCGAACAGG